rnacentral:rRNA from 1 species
GAUUCAGUUUAGUGGCGGACGGGUGAGUAACGCGUGAGUAACCUGCCUUCAAGAGGGGGAUAACAUUCUGAAAAGAAUGCUAAUACCGCAUGACAUAUGAUUGUCGCAUGGCAGACAUAUCAAAGAUUUAUCGCUUGAAGAUGGACUCGCGUCCGAUUAGUUAGUUGGUGAGGUAACGGCCCACCAAGACCGCGAUCGGUAGCCGGACUGAGAGGUUGAACGGCCACAUUGGGACUGAGACACGGCCCA